GAUUGGCGGACGGGUGAGUAAUGUCUGGGAAACUGCCUUGAUGGAGGGGAUAACUACUGGAAAACGGUUAGCUAAUACCGCAUAACGUCGCAAGACCAAAGAGGGGGACUUUCGGGCCUCUUUGCCAUCAGAUGUGCCCAGAUGGGAUUAGUUAGUAGGUGGGGUAACGGGCUCACCUAGGCGACGAUCCCCUAGCUGGUCUGAGAGGGAUGACCAGCCACACUGGAACUGAGACACGGUCCAGACUCCUACGGGAGGCAGCAGUGGGGAAUAUUGCACAAUGGGCGCAAGCCUGAUGCAGCCAUGCCGCGUGUAUGAAGAAGGCCUUCGGGUUGUAAAGUACUUUCAGCGGGGAGGAAGGGAGUAAAGUUAAUACAUAAAAAUAAAUGACGUUACCCGCAGAAGAAGCACCGGCUAACUCCGUGCCAGCAGCCGCGGUAAUACGGAGGGUGCAAGCGUUAAUCGGAAUUACUGGGCGUAAAGCGCACGCAGGCGGUUUGUUAAGUCAGAUGUGAAAUCCCCGGGCUCAACCUGGGAACUGCAUCUGAUACUGGCAAGCUUGAGUCUCGUAGAGGGGGGUAGAAUUCCAGGUGUAGCGGUGAAAUGCGUAGAGAUCCGGAGGAAUACCGGUGGCGAAGGCGGCCCCCUGGACGAAGACUGACGCUCAGGUGCGAAAGCGUGGGGAGCUUACUGAUUAGAUACCCUGGUAGUCCACGCCGUAAACGACUCUUCUUGGAGGUUGUGCCCUUGAGGCGUGGC
rnacentral:rRNA from 2 species